rnacentral:tRNA from 1 species
GCAGGCGUAGCUCAGUCGGUAGAGCAGGAUAGCCGAGUGGUUGUCGCAAUAUGCGGGUUCGAACCCCGCCGUCUGCA